rnacentral:rRNA from 1 species
UACGGGGGGGGCAAGCGUUGUUCGGAAUUACUGGGCGUAAAGGGCUGGUAGGCGGCCAACUAAGUCGGAUGUGAAAUCCCCAGGCUUAACCUGGGAACUGCAUCCGAUACUGGUCGGCUUGAAUCCGGGAGAGGGAUGCAGAAUUCCAGGUGUAGCGGUGAAAUGCGUAGAGAUCGGGAAGAACACCAGUGGCGAAGGCGACGUGCUGGGUUGCACCUGACGCUGAGAUGCGAAAGUGUGGGGAGCAAACAGG